UAUGAGUGGAGUAUAAAAUUUCAUCAGCAACACACACCUAAUAGCAGUGCUUUAAUCCAGAGGAAGCAUGGAAAAUUUAAGGACUGAGCCAAGAGAAACUUUCUGAAGUUCAAUAAGAUGUGCAAAGUGCUGCACCUGGGGUGGAAUGACCCCCCAGGAAGUGGCUGGCUGAGUAGUGUCUCUAAUUAAAGUGAUGUGAGGAUCACAGUUGUCACCAGGUUACCUAUGAGCUGGCAAUGUUCUGUCAUCAUGAAUAAAGCGACCCAUUUACUGGCUUCUACACUGUAAAAGAGUGUAUCUUGCACAGGAGUAUAUCCAGAAGGCUGAGGGAACUUAUUAUCCCCUUCUGCUUAGAACUGCUGAAGCCACAACUGGAAUAAUAUGUCCAUUUAGGGCUUGCAGAUCAUGAGGGACAUAGAGAAAGUAGAAAGGAUACAGCAGACAACCAUUAAAUCAUAAGGGCUUUGGGCACAAUAUUAGUGAGUUUUAUGGGAUAUUAUUCCCAACAUUUGCAUAGUGACCAUCUGAAGACUGGACAUUGUACUGUUCCAAGAGCACUCAAGCAUGCAACCACUGAGAUUUGGGGAUGUCUCAGGGCGCGGGGCUGAGGGAACAAGGGGGUCUCUGAACAUCACUCAGCUAUGUGUGAUCUGUGAGUGUAAACUGCUUAUCGGCUCCCGACGGGUAGGAGAUCCAAGCUGA
rnacentral:lncRNA from 1 species